UAGGGAAUCUUCCACAAUGGACGCAAGUCUGAUGGAGCAACGCCGCGUGAGUGAAGAAGGUUUUCGGACCGUAAAGCUCUGUUGUUGGUGAAGAAGGAUAGAGGUAGUAACUGGCCUUUAUUUGACGGUAAUCAACCAGAAAGUCACGGCUAACUACGUGCCAGCAGCCGCGGUAAUACGUAGGUGGCAAGCGUUGUCCGGAUUUAUUGGGCGUAAAGCGAGCGCAGGCGGAAGAAUAAGUCUGAUGUGAAAGCCCUCGGCUUAACCGAGGAAUUGCAUCGGAAACUGUUUUUCUUGAGUGCAGAAGAGGAGAGUAGAACUCCAUGUGUAGCGGUGGAAUGCGUAGAUAUAUGGAAGAAUACCAGUGGCGGAGGCGGCUCUCUGGUCUGCAACUGACGCUGAGGCUCGAAAGCAUGGGUAGCGAACAGGAUUAGAUACCCUGGUAGUCCAUGCCGUAAACGAUGAGUGCUAAGUGUUGGGAGGCUUCCGCCUCUCAGUGCUGCAGCUAACGCAUUAAGCACUCCGCCUGGGGGAGUACGACCGCAAGGUUGAAAC
rnacentral:rRNA from 1 species